GGGCCCGCACAAGCGGUGGAGUAUGUGGUUUAAUUCGACGCAACGCGCAGAACCUUACCCAAUCUUAACAUCCCGAGAACGAAACAGAAAUGUUUCGGUGCCCUUAUGGGAACUCGGUGAUAGGUGCUGCAUGGCUGUCGUCAGCUCGUGUCGUGAGAUGUUCGGUUAAGUCCGGUAACGAGCGCAACCCCUAUCCUUAGUUGCCAAUGAUGGAACUCUAAGGAGACUGCCGGUGUCAAACCGGAGGAAGGUGGGGACGACGUCAAGUCCUCAUGGCCCUUACGAUUGGGGCUACACACGUACUACAAUGGCAGUGACAGAGGGACGCUACU
rnacentral:rRNA from 1 species